UUACAUAUAUUAUACCUACAUACUUUCCAAACAAAAGUUUACUUUCCUUCUCUUUCAUCUAUUCUCCUUUCCAAACAUAAGCUAAAGUGACUAAAGAGAGAGAGAAAGAAAGCGGGUGAUGUGGUCGACAAUAAGAGGAGGGAGUAAGCAUAUGUGUUAAAUUUUUAUCACAAACUCCUAGCUCAAGUGUCACCAUAUCAAUUAAGGUAUCUUAUCAUCCUAGAUUCACAAGCUUUACUAAAUCAAAGAGAAAGAAAGAAAACCAAAU
rnacentral:lncRNA from 1 species